CCUGCCGGCGACCGGCGCACGGGUGAGUAACACGUAUGCGACCUGCCCCCGCAGGGGGAUAACCGGGAGAAAUCCCGACUAAUACCGCGUAACGCCGCGGACCUGCAUGGGUCUGCGGCCAAAGGAAGCGAUUCCGGCGGGGGAUGGGCAUGCGGCGCAUUAGCUAGUCGGCGGGGUAACGGCCCACCGAGGCGACGAUGCGUAGGGGUUCUGAGAGGAAGGUCCCCCACACUGGUACUGAGACACGGACCAGACUCCUACGGGAGGCAGCAG
rnacentral:rRNA from 1 species